rnacentral:rRNA from 1 species
UACGUAGGGGGCUAGCGUUGUCCGGAAUCAUUGGGCGUAAAGCGCGCGUAGGCGGUCAGGUAAGUCCGGUGUGAAAGUCAAAGGCUCAACCUUUGAAUGCCGCUGGAAACUGCCUGACUUGAGUCCGGUAGGGGCGAGUGGAAUUCCUGGUGUAGCGGUGAAAUGCGCAGAUAUCGGGAAGAACACCCGUGGCGAAGGCGGUUCUCUGGGACGGUACUGACGCUGAGACGCGAAAGCGUGGGGAGCGACCAGG